GUCCCUGAUCGCUGCAUCCGCGGAGCAUUCCACUGUUUGUGAUGUAACGGCUACCGAACGCCUACAUGCAUAGCCGACCUGAGAGGCUUAUCACCCACACUGAGACUGAAACACGGGCCAGAGUCCUUCUGGAGGCAACAGAAGGCAAGCCUGCGUCAUGGACGAAUGUCUGAAUGAUCCAUGCCUCGUGAGUUAAUAAGGUUUUCCGAUCCUAAAACUCUGUUGUUAGAAAAGAACAAGGACGUUAUUAACUGAACGUCCCCUGACGGGAUCUCACCAGAAAUCCACGGCUUACUACGUGCCUGUCGCCGCGGUAAUACUUACGUGGCAAGCGUUGUCCGGAUUUAUUGGGCGUAAAGCGAGCCCAUGCGGCUUCUUAAGUCUGAUGUGAAUGCCCCCGGCUCAUCCGGGGAGGGUCAUUGGAAACUGGGAGACUUGAGUGCACAACAGGAGAGUGGAAUUCCAUGUGUAGCGGUGAAAUGCGUAGAUAUAUGGAGGAACACCGUUGGCGAAGGCCGAUCUUUGGUCUGUAACUGACGCUGAAGCUCGAAAGCGUGGGGAACAAACAGGAUUAGAUACCCUGGUAGUCCACGCCGUAAACGAUGAAUGCUAAAUGGUGGAAGGUUUCCGCCUUCAUGCUGCACCAAAGCAUUAACACUCCCCUGGGGAAUACGACCGCAAGUUGAAACUCAAGGAAUUGACGGGGGCCGCACAACCGUGGAACAUGUGUUUAUUCGAACCACGCCAAAAACCUUACCAGUCUUGACAUCUUUGACCAUCCAAAAAAAAGCUUUCCCUUCGGGACAAAUGACAGUGGGGCUGGUUGUCCUCGCUCGUGUCUGAAAUGUGGGUUAAUCCCGCACCAACGCACCCUUAUUGUAAUUGCCUCCUUUAGUGGGCCCUUAACCGAAUGCCGUGACAAACGGAGAAGGGGGGGAGACGUCAAACUCCGCCCCUUUAACCGGGGCUCACCGGUCUAAAUGGGAAAUAAACCGGUCCU
rnacentral:rRNA from 1 species